CUGGUUUGGAAAGCUGCACAGCAGGAUUUUCCCGUGCGCUGCUCUUCUUCCCUGCCUCUGAAACGUUUCUUUUUCGAUUGCUGCUAACAACAGGCUUGAGCGGGCCCCGGAGAAGCUCGUGAGGUUCAAAAUACGGAAGGACAAGGUGUAGCACCUGGGAAUGGCGACCCCUGCUACCAAUGCCUGACAGGGGAUGUAAGGAUGGAGCGCAGCUCCGCUGGAAAGGACUUGGGGUACUACUGGUGGAUGGCAGCUGGACAUGAGCCAGCUGUGUGCCCUCACAGCCCAGAAAGCCAGCCGUACCCUGGGCUGCAUCAAAGGAAGCGUGGCCAGCAGGGUGAGGGAGGCGAUCCUGCCCCUCUGCUCUGUGCUGGUGAGGCCUCACCUGGAGCACUGUGUCCAGACGUGGAGUCCUCAGUACAGCAGAGACGUGGAGCUGUUGGAGCGCGUCCAGAGGAGGGCCACAGAAAUGAUCCCAGGGAUGGAACGGUUCUCCUGCGAGGAUAGGCUGAGAGCUGGGGCUGUGCAGCAUGGAGAAGGGGCAGAGCAUUGACAAACAGGAGUAAGUUCAGUGGAGAACUACCAGGAUGGUUGGGGCUGGAACACUUAUCCUGGGAGGAAAGGUGAAGGAACAGGAACUACUCAUCCUUCGAAGGGUCCUCGUGGCAGUUCCCUGUCUAUAGUGAGGCUUCUGAGGAGAUGUUAAGCAAGGCUCUUGACAGUGAUGUGUGCUGGGAGGACAAGAGAAAACAGGGCUAAUUUCAAACAAGAGGCCCAUUCCAUUAGCCUGUCCUGCCUUUCUCUUUCCCAUGAAUUGUGCUCUUUAACAGCCUUUUGUACUGAUCAAAGGACAGAGGCUCAGGAGUUGGGAAGCUGAAGCUCCUGUGAACCACUCUUUCCUGUGGUCUGGGAAAUAACACUGAGCUGCAUCAGAACUUGGCCCCGACUCAAAAGCUUGGGGAGCCAUGUCUGUUUCCACCUCUGCUGCCAGCAGCCACGGAACGUGGCAGCAUUUGAGGAGCAGCCAUUCUCUCCCUUUCACGUGUACAGCAAGGACACAGUCCUCAACAGCUGAGAAGAGUAAGGUGUCCUUUACAAGCAAGGCAUGUGCUGAUCUUUAUCAAAUAAAUAAAUAAAUAAAACUGGCAUCCAAACUCUUUUUGAGGAAAAAACUGCAGUUUUCCUGAGCCAGAGAAGAUGGAGUUGUGUGCAACUGGCACAAGUGUCCACGCUUGGACGAUUGCAGGGAUCUUUGCAGCUAAAAGAAUGAAGGCAGUUGCCUGCUUCAGAAAUGUCAAAGCAAAAACCUAGCCAGAAACAGUUUGCCUGAGGUCACUGGAUCAUAGCAAAGCAUGGAAAAUGGAUGCUAUCAGUCAAGUCACACUUGUAACUUCAGUCCUAGCACUGCUCAUCUCCUGCAGGUCUGCUAGAACAGAAUUAUCUACCAGUUUCAAGCAGCAGUGCAUUUCAUAUUUAUAUUUAUUUCCAUGGAGACAACAACGGAUACAAACAGCACAAUGAUACUAUUUGAUGGAGCAAAUUCUCAGCUACCAAAAAACCUCUUUUUCUACAGUAGCUGAAUCGUGUGGAUGAACUGAUCAGGAUGAUCCUUGUUUUGUGGCAUGACAGCUGUGCAUGGCUGUCUGGAACACGGCUUGUAUUUCACAUUGCUGUCACCACUGCUGAAACACACCACCCAGCCCCUCACUGUGCUCACAUUUAUUGUUUGGGCUCCAUAAAUGCUCAGCAAGCAUUGAUGAAUGUCAAUGGGUGCCAUUUUUUCUGCAUGAAGGAAUGCAAUGACACAACUUUGCUCCAUCCACACUUCCAUGCCAGACAUCAUUCUGUCAGACUACCCCUUUGCUGCCAUCUGUCACAGAACAACAGCAUGGAAUGGGAUAUUGGUGGGAAGGUUCAGCCUCUACUGCCACAUCUCCAACAUCAGCUUCUGAUGUCAUAGGCCAACAAAACAGGAGAAAUCAGCAACCAUGGAUACGCAAUGAAGAACACUGUGCUCUCCACUCACCGAAGUCUUGAGCUGUUUGAGUGGUGCUGGUGUGCUGAGACACGGGGAAAGACAGCUCUUCUCCUCCUCAUUUGUUCCUCAAGUGCUAUUCACUUCCCAAGGACUUAUGGUAUAUUUUGCACAUAAGUCUACAAAGUGAGUCUCUCACUGCAGGGGAAAAGUGUCAUUUGAGCAGUCUGUCAAAGUGAAAAGUGGCUGAAAUGACCACUGGCUGGUUGAAAUGACAACAGCUCCACUUAAAGCUGUGCACUUGCAGCUGUGAGUGGAUUCUGGGUUGAACUGCGUGUGGAUCUGAUCUGGUUCAACCCUAGACUGGAAGUUCUCAGUCAGUGCAAAACUAGUUCAGUGUUUGUUGAAUGAAUUACUCUGAAAUGAACAUUUUACAGCAUUUAUUCCUAGCAUAUUAGCAGAGCAGAAUCUAUCUAGACAUUUAUCCUUCUUUCUUUGAUAACAGUGUGACUUAUUUAUGAAUGGCUUCUGGCCCAUUUUUCUACCAGUGACUAUUGUGAAUUUCAGCA
ensembl:lncRNA